GGUAGUGUGGCCGAGCUAUAGGUGGCGAGUUGUAGCCUCGCCCACUGGGAUUUAACCCACGCUAUCAGGCC
rnacentral:tRNA from 1 species